rnacentral:rRNA from 1 species
AGCAGCCGCGGUAAUUCCAGCUCCAAUAGCGUAUAUUAAAGUUGUUGCAGUUAAAAAGCUCGUAGUUGAAUUUCGGGAUUAGCAAGUUGGUCGUGCCUUCGGUAUGCACUGGCUUUGCUGAUUCCUCCUUCUUGAAGAACUGUAAUGCUAUUAAUUUAGUGUUGCAGGGAAACAGGACUGUUACUUUGAAAAAUUAGAGUGUUUAAAGCAGGCUAACGCUUGAAUACAUUAGCAUGGAAUAAUGAAAUAGGACGUUUGAUCCUAUUUUGUUGGUUUCUAGGAUUGACGUAAUGAUUAAUAGGGAUAGUUGGGGGCAUUAGUAUUCAAUUGUCAGAGGUGAAAUUCUUGGAUUUAUUGAAGACUAACUACUGCGAAAGCAUUUGCCAAGGAUGUUUUCAUUAAUCAAGAACGAA